rnacentral:lncRNA from 1 species
UCUCCGAUCCUCCAAAUUCCUGAAUCCCUAAACCCCCAAAUUCCUGAACCCCCAAAUUCCUGAACCUCCAAAUUCCUGAAUCCCUGAACCCCCAAAUUCCUGAACCCCCAAAUUCCUGAACCCCCAAAUUCCUGAACCCCUGAAUCCCCAAAUACAUGAAUCUCCGAUCCUCCAAAUUCCUGAAUCCCUGAAUCCCCAAAUUCCUGAACCCCCAAAUCCCCGAAUCCCCAAUUUCCCAAUCCCCAAAUCCCUUAAUUUCCCAAAUUCCUGAAUCCUCGAACCCCCAAAUUGCUGAACCCCCGAAUUCCUGAAUCCCUGAACCCCCAAAUCCCUGAAUCCCCAAUUUCCUGAAUCCUCGAACCCCCAGAUUCAUGAACCCCUGAACCCCUAAAUCCCCAAAUUCCUGAAUUCCCAAAUCCCCAAAUCCCCGAAUCCCCAAAUUCCCGAAUCCCCAAAUUUCCCAAUCCCCGAAUCCCCAAAUUCCCGAAUCCCCAAAUUUCCCAAUCCCAAAAUCCCAGAGCUCCAACUCACCCGCGUGGCUCCGCGCUUCCCAGAAAUCUGCGGGAAUAAGAAAAAAACGGGAAUUCCCAUUUUUAUGGAGGAAUUCCAUCCUUCCCCCCAGAAUUCCCAUUUAACGCCCCCCAAAUCCCAGGAAUUUGGGCAUUCCCGUGGUUUUUCCAGGAAUUUGGGCAUUCCCGAGGUUUUCCCGGGAAUUUGGGCAUUCCCAGGAAUUUGGGCAUUCCCGAGGUUUUCCCGGGAAUUUGAUAUUCCCGAGGUUUUCCCGGGAAUUUGGUAUUCCCGAGGUUUUCCCGGGAAUUUGGGCAUUCCCGAGGUUUUCCCGGGAAUUUGAUAUUCCCGAGUUUUCCCGGGAAUUUGGGCAUUCCCGAGGUUUUCCGCGCUUACCCAGCUCCGCUUUCAGCUGACCUGAAAGGAAAAGCGAUUCCCGUCAGUUUUGGAGGAUUUUCCCGUUUUUUCCCCCAUUUUUCCCAUCAGAACAAGCCCCGAGUGUGGAAUUGCAGGAAAUUCCCUUCCCUGGAUGAAAUAGCCCCAAAUUCCAGGGAAAAUGUGGAAAAUAAGCGGAAUUCCCGGGUUAUUUUUUGGGAGAAAUGUGGAUUUAUGGAAUUUGCAUUUUCUUACCAAAGCGUUUCUUGAAUUGGAUUUUUGCUGGAAGGGAAAAGCAUGGAAUGAGUGACGGG